GCUGCCUAUAUCCUGGUAUUUGAAACAUGAUUCAAAGCCAAUAUUUAAAUCUACAUGAGAAUUUCAGCAAACAUUCAUUUUACAAUUUCCUUAACCAAGACAAUAUAUGUGUCUACAUGAAGGAGCACACCUUACAGUAUGCAAUUUUCUUGAUUUGCAUCUCCUGCCACUCAUGCUGGAAAACCCUUCAUUUUGUAGUGUUGUACAUGGCAUCAGGCUGCUACUUUUACCUUCAGACAUGCUGCAAAAAUAAUAACUGAAGAUGCAUACAUACUACCUUACCUGACUUAGAUCUUUGCUUUCCUGACAACUACUCCAGAGUUGAACUUCUUGUAUAUUAAAGAGCGGAUAUUACCCAAGAUGAGAGCACAAAAUGCUUAGCCUUGAGAUGUGCUCCUUCCUUAAGAUUCACAAUAAUCUGCUAAGUGUUAUAUGUGCGGACACACCUCGCACUUUAAGAUCGCGUUGAUAACGCCGCAGAAGUUUAGAAGGAAUGUAGCCCCUGUUAGCACAACAAUACACGACCAGACCAAAAUCUAGACCAAAUCAGUGUUCCUUUUUCACGUACCCAAUAAUUGCAUACUGUCUGAUAACAAGCAACAGUCAACAAGAAGUCAGCUAGAUAAUAAGGGAGUGAGCAAGAUGCCGGGCAAAAUGGAAACUAAGAAAAAAACAUGUCUGACAAAUGGCUAGAGGUCACAGACACGGAAUGAAGAAAGGCAAACAUCCUACACAACAUGAUAUAUGAGCAAGCGGAGGAUGUAGUAAUGCAGCGAUAGCAGAAAUGAUUUCAUCAUCGGUGUCGGAGAGGUUGACUGCGCAGAGGUUGGAGAAGGCCGCGAUCAUCGACACGACCUUGAGGCCCAUCGCGGAGAUGUGCGCCAUGGUGGGGAAGUCGUUGAGGCGCUGGAUGAUGUUGUUGGCCUGGGCGACGCCGUCCACCACCACGCAGGCAGUCCAGCCGCCCCGUUCGGAUCGGAGCAUGGGGUUGCCUCAGAGAUCCACCGACCUCGAGCGGUAGUGGUUGUGGUGGCGGUGCCGGCGGCGGCACAACUUCGCCGGAGCACUUUCGCUCGAACGAGCGGCCAUGGCGUCGAUCAGAAUCGCGUGCGGCGGCGGAUCCCCUUCCCCCCUCGCGUCGAGCGAAUAUUUUUCAGGAGCGACAGCGAUCGAUCGGUCUGGGAACGGCCGACACAUCCCAUCCCAUCUCUUUCACACACCCCCGUGGAUCCAAUCGACCGACGAACACCGGCCGCUCCUCUCCUCUGUGCGUCGCUCCUCUUUGCGCCUCGCAGGUCGCAUCGGGACUUGAUUGGAUGGACGCGGUCGCUCCUAUUCCCUUUUAGCGAAGCCCAUGAGUGGACCAGCUUUAGCGAAGCGCUGGAAUGGGCUGACCGACGGCCUAAAGGCCUCCG
rnacentral:rRNA from 1 species